UCCUUCUUUUCUCUCCAAACUAGAGAAUCAUUUCUUGCAACAAAAAUAUCAAAAAGAGCCCAUCAACAGAAUCUGCAAUAUUCUAUCCCAAGAGUCCCCCACCUCUUCCAAGAAAGGGAGGAUCAAAGAGAUGGAGAUGAAAGAAACCUCUGAGGCCAUCUAGUUCAACUCUUCAGGAUAUAUCUAAUACAAUAUCUUAUGAUAAGAAAAUUGAAGCCCAAAGAAUUUCAUUGAUGUUCCUGAAGUCUCUGAGUUAGUAACCAUCAAAGGUUGGACUUGAAUGCAAGUCCCCUGACAUCAGAACCAAUAAUUUCUGCACUAUAUCACUAUAGAUACUUUGAAUUUUUAGGUGCCUCUUAAUGGAAGGAAAGAACCCAAGAAGAUGUUCAUUUUGCCGCAUGAUCAGAAUGGAUUUCCAGGAAGGUCACUGUUCCUGCACAAGCCCUUCAGAUGUGUUUGAUAUGUCUCCAUUGUCACCAAGUAAGCCUUGGGGUACUUUAUCCAUUCCUGGAUUCCUGCUCUGGCAACACUGGUUAGGGCCCAUGCCAUUAUUACAGAACUGGAAGGAGAACUGAAAAGUCUUUUGAUGUCAGAUGGAUAAACCAUGGUGAUGGCUGUCUUCUUCUGGCUCUCUCAGGUGUUAGCCAUGUCGCUAGUGAUUGCUUUCUGGCAGUCAGGUUAGGGAGGGUCUGUAAGGAAACAUUUCUCACCAGGGGCUCUUGGCAUGGACUACAGGAGCAUAGAUUUAGAGCUGGAAAGGGAAUUAAAGGUUCUCUAGUUCAUCCCCUUCCCCUUACAAAUAAGGAAACUAAGGCCACAGAGAGUCACCUAAGAAUGACCCAAGGAACCCAAAUAGUAUGGGAGGCAAUGUUGGAUCCCAGGUCCUUGACUGCUUGAUUCAGUGAUCUUUUCCUGGUACCACAUUGCCUCAAAUGAGCUCACUCUUCAUUUCAGAAGACUGGAUUGUCUGAUCAUAGAUUUAUCACUAGAAGGGGCAUCAGAGACCAUCUGGCACACCCUUGAGGGAAUUGAGACUCUGUUGUUCUAUUGUUCAGUCAUUUCAUUCAUUUCUGACUCUUUGUGCCCUCAUUUGGGAUUUUCUUGGCAGAGAUACUGGGUGGUUUGCCAUUUUCUUGUCUGGCUCAUUUUAUAGAUGAUGAAACAGAGGCAACAGAGUUAAGUGACUUGGCCAAGGCCAUACAGCUAAUAAGUGUCUGAGACCAAAUUUGAACUUUGGUCUUCCUGAUGUUAGUCUCACACUCUAUCUCUACUGUACCUAACCAUCUCAGAGUGGCC
rnacentral:lncRNA from 1 species